CGGGAGUAACUCAGUUGGUAGAGUACCUGCUUCCCAAGCAGGCUGUCGCGAGUUCGAGUCUCGUCUCCCGCUCCAC
rnacentral:tRNA from 1 species